GAAAAUAUGGUGAAUUAUCACGUUAUUAUUUCAUGAUAAAGAUGAGUUAGUCCUCUUUAUCUUCA
rnacentral:tRNA from 1 species